GGGGAAUAUUGCACAAUGGGCGAAAGCCUGAUGCAGCAACGCCGCGUGAGGGAUGACGGCCUUCGGGUUGUAAACCUCUUUUAGUAGGGAAGAAGCGUAAGUGACGGUACCUGCAGAAAAAGCACCGGCUAACUACGUGCCAGCAGCCGCGGUAAUACGUAGGGUGCAAGCGUUGUCCGGAAUUAUUGGGCGUAAAGAGCUCGUAGGCGGCUUGUCGCGUCUGCUGUGAAAUCCCGGAGCUCAACUCCGGGCCUGCAGUGGGUACGGGCAAGCUAGAGUGCGGUAGGGGAGAUUGGAAUUCCUGGUGUAGCGGUGGAAUGCGCAGAUAUCAGGAGGAACACCGAUGGCGAAGGCAGAUCUCUGGGCCGCUACUGACGCUGAGGAGCGAAAGCAUGGGGAGCGAAC
rnacentral:rRNA from 1 species